UACGGAGGGGGCAAGCGUUGUUCGGAAUCAUUGGGCGUAAAGGGCGCGUAGGCGGCCCUGCAAGUCGGACGUGAAAUCCCUCGGCUCAACCGAGGAACCGCGCUCGAUACUGCGAGGCUAGAGUCCGGGAGGGGAUGGUGGAAUUCCCAGUGUAGCGGUGAAAUGCGUAGAUAUUGGGAAGAACACCGGUGGCGAAGGCGGCCAUCUGGACCGGAACUGACGCUGAGGAGCGAAAGCUAGGGGAGCGAAUGGG
rnacentral:rRNA from 1 species